AUUCACGCUGGCGGCGUGCCUAAUACAUGCCAGUCGAGCGAACGGACGAGAAGCUUGCUUCUCUGAUGUUAGCGGCGGACGGGUGAGUAACACGUGGAUAACCUACCUAUAAGACUGGGAUAACUUCGGGAAACCGGAGCUAAUACCGGAUGAUAUUUUGAACCGCAUGGUUCAAAAGUGAAAGACGGUCUUGCUGUCACUUAUAGAUGGAUCCGCGCUGCAUUAGCUAGUUGGUAAGGUAACGGCUUACCAAGGCAACGAUGCAUAGCCGACCUGAGAGGGUGAUCGGCCACACUGGAACUGAGACACGGUCCAGACUCCUACGGGAGGCAGCAGUAGGGAAUCUUCCGCAAUGGGCGAAAGCCUGACGGAGCAACGCCGCGUGAGUGAUGAAGGUCUUCGGAUCGUAAAACUCUGUUAUUAGGGAAGAACAUAUGUGUAAGUAACUGUGCACAUCUUGACGGUACCUAAUCAGAAAGCCACGGCUAACUACGUG
rnacentral:rRNA from 1 species